AUGUGGAAUUGUAAAUACUGCAUUUUUAGUUCUGAGAAAAGAGGGGAAAUUCUUAAACACUAUCGUCUAAACCAUGGAGGCCAUACAAAGAUUGUCCCUUUUCCAUGCCCACACCAGGACUGUCUUUGCACAUUUCAGUCCAUCAGUAACUUGCAAGUGCAUCUUUCUAUAAUUCAUGCUAAAGAACACAGUGAACAUGUGAGUGAAGUAACACCACUUGUAUUUAAAUGUCAGCACUGUGAGUUUUCUGAACCCUGCACAGAAUCAGAUUUCCUAAGACACUUGCGUAGUAGACAUUUAAGCGCAAAUGAGAACAUCCAGUGUCCCUACAGAGGUUGCAUGUUUCAGACUAGUUUUUAUACAACAUUCAAUUCGCAUAGAAGUAGGGCACACAGUGAAGAUGACUGGAGGAUGCUAAAGCCAGAAAUAAUUUCUGGUGAUAGUGAGGAGAAUGAUGAACUUGAACCUGUUUCUUUGGAUGAAAUUGAAAUUGAGGACAAUGAAAAUCCGUUAACUAACGAAUCCUCAGAUUUUGUGCAUCAGUUAGAGCACAAUUUAGCUGGCAUUUUUUUGAAGAUGCAAAGCAUUCUUCAUAUCCCAGCAAGUUCGGUUCAGGAUAUCAUACAAGAAUUAACUGAAAUUCAUAAACUGUCUUUCCCAUUAGUGUAUAAGUCAGUUUCAACUGUCCUGAAGAAACAUUAUCCAGAUGUUGAUGAUUCCCUUGUUACUGAAGUGGUACACGCAGUUUCAGAGAGCAAUGUAUUUUCAAAGUGUUGUGACACAGGCGGAUCUUUGUCAACAGUCAAAAAAAGGAACUCAUUUGUGUUAAAUGAAUUUCCAGUGGUUAUGCCCGUCGAGUACAUGCUUCCUGGGGGAAAGAAACCGUAUGUGUAUGUACCGAUACAGCCUGUGUUACAAACAAUGCUCAACAAGCCAGACAUUUUGGAUAAAGCACUUUCAGUGCAAGAAUGCGUAUCAGAUAGGUACAGUUCUUACCGUGAUGGCGAAUAUUUUAAAGAGAAUAGUCUUCUCAACGACGAUGACUUUAAAAUUGCUCUAGGACUCUAUAUUGAUGAUUUUGAGGUGGCCAAUCCUUUAGGUACAUCAAGAGGCAAACACAAAAUGUGUGCAGUGUACUGGGUGUUAGCAAACAUGGACGUGAAGUACAGAUCCACUCUUCACUCCAUCCAACUUGCACUUCUCUGUAAUACUAGCACAGUAAAGGAGUAUGGCUACCAAAAAAUCAUGCAACCAUUUCUGCAAGACCUUGUCCAUCUGGAGCAAACUGGGUUGUACAUUGAUCAGUUAGGUGCUACUGUGAAAGGCACUGUCUUGUAUGUUUCAGCUGACAAUCUUGGUGCUCACUCUCUUGCAGGUUUUUUUGAGAGUUUUACUGUGGAGAGGUUCUGCCGAUUUUGCAUGGCUUCAAGAAACGAAACUCAGCACACUGAAGUUGGCACCAGAAACUUUGAACCUCGGACUAAGGAUAUGCACAACAGGCACAUUGAGGAGGUAAAGCAAGAUCCCUCGUUGAGUAAGGUAUAUGGGGUGAAAGGAAGUUGUCCACUAACUGAUGCUUUGCAGCAUUUUCAUGCAGUAACUGGCUACCCACCUGACAUUUUGCAUGACCUUUUAGAAGGUGUUGUGCCUGUUGAAAUCGGUCUCUGCCUUUCAGUCAUGAUAGAGAAGAAAUACUUCUCUCUUGAUUCAGUUAACCAUUCCAUCAAGACAUUUGCUUACACCUUUUCUGACAAAACUAACCAACCACAGCCUAUUCCAAAGGGUUUUGCAAGUAAAGGAACAAUUGGUGGCAAUGGGCACGAAAAUUGGACGUUACUUAGGUUGCUACCACUUAUCAUUGGUGAUUAUGUCCCAGAGGGAGACAGCUCAUGGGAAAUCCUGAUGCUGCUUAAGGACAUAGUUGAACUGGCUGUUGCUUCGAAACAUACAGAUGAGUCCAUUCAUGACUUGGGUUGCAAAAUAACAGAACACAGAGAAUUGUUGCAGUCGACAUUUCCUAAUUUCAGACUGAAACCAAAACACCAUUUCAUAGAGCAUUACCCCCAACUGAUUAAAGCCUUUGGCCCACUCUCUGAUGUUUGGACAAUGCGCUUUGAAGGCAAACACAAAUUUUUCAAAAAGGUAAUUCGUGAAUCUCAAAACUUCCGAAAUGUGGCACUAACAUUGGCUGUCAAACAUCAGAGAAUGAUGGCUUACCAUCUUGAUUCAAGCUCAUUUUUCAGGCCCUCAGUUGAAAUGGAGAAAGUGAAAACUGCACUCGUUACAUCAUUUCCUGGCCACGUUCAACAGCAGUUUCAUCAAAUAGCACCUCAGCUGAAUACUGUGCUUGUUGCAUCAUCUGUGAUGGUAGAGGGAAUCAAAUACAGUUCAGAUAUGGUGAUCUCUGCUGGUUCGUGCUCUGGUCUUCCAGAUUUCAAGCAAAUAUCACAGAUUGUAGCUGUAAACUCAGAGAUUCUGUUUGUCUGUAAAAAAAUGUCAGCAUGGUACACUGAGCAUCUUCGGUCGUAUGAACUUUGCGACAGCCAUUCCUUAUCUCUCUGUGUGGUAAAGGUGUCAGAGCUUAAUGAGGUUUUCCCUCUUUCAGGUUACAUUGUUAAAGGCAGGAUGAUGGUGACACCUAAACGUUUUAUUUUUUGCUGA
ensembl:lncRNA